AUUGAACGCUGGCGGCAGGCCUAACACAUGCAAGUCGAGCGGAUGAAGGGAGCUUGCUCCUGGAUUCAGCGGCGGACGGGUGAGUAAUGCCUAGGAAUCUGCCUGGUAGUGGGGGAUAACGUCCGGAAACGGGCGCUAAUACCGCAUACGUCCUGAGGGAGAAAGUGGGGGAUCUUAGGACAUCACGCUAUCAGAUGAGCCUAGGUCGGAUUAACUAGUUGGUGGGGUAAAGGCCUACCAAGGCGACGAUCCGUAACUGGUCUGAGAGGAUGAUCAGUCACACUGGAACUGAGACACGGUCCAGACUCCUACGGGAGGCAGCAGUGGGGAAUAUUGGACAAUGGGCGAAAGCCUGAUCCAGCCAUGCCGCGUGUGUGAAGAAGGUCUUCGGAUUGUAAAGCACUUUAAGUUGGGAGGAAGAGCAGUAAGUUAAUACCUUGCUGUUUUGACGUUACCAACAGAAUAAGCACCGGCUAACUUCGUG
rnacentral:rRNA from 1 species